AGGAUAGUAUCUUUUAAGAGCUAUACCUAUUACUAAACUUUAUUAUUCUAAAAACAUUUCUGCUCUGAACCACAGGACUGAGACGGAAGA
rfam:Clostridium formicaceticum strain ATCC 27076, complete genome.